GGGCCGGUAGAUCAGCCUGGAAAUGAGGGGAAAGUUCCCAUCACCAGAAUGAUCGUCCGCUUGGCAUGCGGGAGGUCGCGGGUUCAAAUCCCGCCCGGUCCACCA
rnacentral:tRNA from 1 species